CAGAAAGUCUUCCUUAGAUAUUUCCUUUACAAUAUUAUUCUGCAAGUUGUUUGGGUGGCUAGGAUUAAUGAUUGCCCUUUGCUUCCUCUUGAGCUGCUUGUAAGCACAAAUUUCUCUUCCACUCGUGCAAAAACAUAAAAAUUUCCAUGGCCAAUUUUCAUUUCCAGGCCAUUCUUCAUCCUCUGUUUCUCAUCCAAUUCCUUUGUCUGCUACUUCUUUCAUCUUCUACUUGCACUCUAGCAAUUAAUUACUCCAUAAACUGUGGAUCAGGGUCCAGUGUUAGUCUUGAUGGCCGGAUUUUUGUGGGUGACGAAAAAUCUGAUUCCUUCGCCGGAAAUGGUGUUUCUAUUAGCAACAGUUCAGUAUUACCUGAAAACCCUUCUCCUAUCUAUCAAACCGCGAGAAUUUUCAAGAAGCUGUCAUCAUAUGAGCUCAAAAUCACUGAUAAUGGCAUAUACUUGGUACGUCUUCAUUUCUUCCCAUUCAGCUCCAAAGAGACUGAUCUUUCUGAUGCUUUAUUCAAUGUUUCCACUUCAAAAUUCUUGCUCUUAUCUAAUUUUAGCGUCAAGAACACUGCCCCUUUACCAUGGAUAAAGGAGUUCUUUCUCACCAUCAAUUCAGACAAGCUUAGUAUCUAUUUCAUACCCGCUACAGAGACAUCUUUUGCUUUCGUUAGUGCCAUGGAAGUCCUUAUCCUUCCUCUGGACUUCUUCAAGGAUGAUUAUGUGAUACCAGUCCCUCCGUUAGGUACUUCAAAUGGUUCUUUCCAUGGUUUGCUGUCCAAUGCUUUACACACUCUAUACAGGAUCGAUGUCGGACAAAAUGUUAAUGGUAGUGAUCCCUUCUGGAGGAACUGGGUGGGGGAUGAUCAGUAUCUAGUUCCAGGGUCUUCUGCAGAAAAUUGUUCUCCUUAUUCUGCUAAGCUUAAUCAGGCCUCUGGAGGAACGUAUAUUCAAGAUAUUGCCCCGGACUAUGUGUACGUUACCUGCAAAGAAGUGAUAAUGGGUAACAUAACUUGGCGUUUCAAUGUAACGAAGAAAGCUAUACAUCUUGUUCGUCUACACUUCUGCGAUAUUCUCAGUCCAUCAGCUGGUUUGUGGAAGUUCGAUUUUUAUAUUUAUACAAAAUUUAGGUGGGUCUUUGAUUCUCAAAUAUUUGGCAGCACUUUGGCAGCACCAGUUUUCCAGGAUUUCGUUGUUCAAUCUGAUGAUUCUGGAUAUAUAAGGUUCAGUAUAGGCCCUAACAAUGAUUCUGGUUGGAAAAUUGCCUUUCUAAACGGAUUGGAGAUUAUGGAGUUUGUAACCAAUACAAGCAUGAAAUUGGAUCAACUUGAACCAGAGCAUCCAAGUGGCAAACAUCUUGAUCUUAUUAUUGGCUUUUCAGUUGGGGGUGUGGUUCUGAUUUCCAUUUUAAUAAUCUUAUUCUUGUUUGCUGUGAGACGUAGGAAAGCUAAACCUGUUCAAGCUAUGUUUCUGAAGGAUGAGGCUCCUCCUGGGAGAGGAACGCCUCACAGUUGGAUAGCUGCAACAACUGUCAAUUCCUUCUCCCCUGUUCCUAAUUUGAACCUCAAGUUAAAGAUGCCUUUCUCUGAAAUACUUGCUGCUACUAGCAACUUCGACACCAAGUUGUUGAUUGGUGAAGGUGGAUUUGGUAAAGUUUACAAAGGAACUCUUCCCACUGGAAUAAAAGUGGCUGUGAAACGAAGCGAUUCAAGCCAUGGCCAAGGGCUUCCAGAAUUCCAGACUGAGGUUACAGUCCUAUCCAAAAUUCGACACCGCCACCUUGUUUCCUUGAUUGGGUACUGUUAUGAAGGAUCUGAGAUGAUACUGGUUUAUGAAUUCAUGGAAAAG
rnacentral:misc_RNA from 1 species